rnacentral:rRNA from 1 species
GAUGAACGCUAGCGGGAGGCUUAACACAUGCAAGUCGAGGGGCAGCACGAGGUAGCAAUACUUUGGUGGCGACCGGCAGACGGGUGAGUAACGCGUAUGUAACCUACCCUGUACUGGGGGAUAACCCGGAGAAAUUCGGACUAAUACCCCAUAGAAAUAUAGAGAGGCAUCUUGAAAUAUUUAAAGUUUCGACGGUACGGGAUGGGCAUGCGUAACAUUAGCUAGUUGGUAAGGUAACGGCUUACCAAGGCUUUGAUGUUUAGGGGUCCUGGGAGGGUGAUCCCCCACACUGGUACUGAGACACGGACCAGACUCCUACGGGAGGCAGCAGUGAGGAAUAUUGGUCAAUGGGCGAAAGCCUGAACCAGCCAUCCCGCGUGCAGGAAGACGGCCCUAUGGGUUGUAAACUGCUUUUCCAGGAGGAGAAACUCUCGUACGUGAUACGGGAUUGACGGUACCCUGGGAAUAAGCAUCGGCUAACUCCGUGCCAGCCGCCGCGGUAAAAC